rnacentral:lncRNA from 1 species
UCAUCAUCACCGGUCAUUAGAGAAAUGCAAAUCAACUAAAUGCCAAUCAAUGAUAGACUGGAUAAAGAAAAUGUGGCACAUAUACACCGUGGAAUACUAUGCAGCCAUAAAAAAGGAUGAGUUCAUGUCCUUUGCAGGGGCAUGGACGAAGCUGGAAACCAUCAUUCUCAGCAAACUAACACAGGAAAAGAAAACCAAACACUGCAUGUUCCCACUCAUAAGUGGGAGUUGAACAGUGAUAACACAUAGACACAGGGAGGGGAACAUCACACACUGGGGCCUGUCAGGGGAUGGGGCUAGGGGAGGGAUAGCAUUAGGAGAAAUACCUAAUGAAGAUGACGGGUUGAUGGGUGCAGCAAACCACCAUGGAAUGUGUAUAUCUAUGUAACAAAUCUGCACACUCUGCACAUGUAUCCCAGAACUUAAAGUAUAAUUUUAAAAUAAUAAUAAAAUAAAUAAAUAGCCAGGCGCAGUGGCUCACACCUGUAAUUCCAACACUUUGGGAGCCCGAAGCAGGAGAAUCACCUGAGGUCAGGAG